rnacentral:rRNA from 1 species
CGUCUAUAUACGUAUAGCAUAUCAAUAAGCGGAGGAAAAGAAACUAACUAGGAUUCCCUCAGUAACGGCGAGUGAAGCGGGAAGAGCUCAAAUUUGAAAUCUUCAAGGUUCUACCUUGACGAAUUGUAGUUUAAAGAAGUGUUUUCUGUUGGAGUUUUGGUAAAAGUUCUUUGGAAUAGGACAUCAUAGAGGGUGAGAAUCCCGUAUUUGACCAUUAUUUCCAACUUUGUGAUAGCACUUUCAAAGAGUCGGAUUGUUUGGGAAUGCAGUCCAAAAUGGGUGGUAAAUUUCAUCUAAAGCUAAAUACUGGCGAGAGACCGAUAGCGAACAAGUACCGUGAGGGAAAGAUGAAAAGAACUUUGAAAAGAGAGUUAAACAGUACGUGAAAUUGUCAAAAGGGAAGCGUUUGACACCAGUGUUGUUUUCUCGAAAAUCAAUUAAAAAUGGCGGGAUGUUGUGUUGUAUUGACUUUAUCAGCUUUCUGCACUUUUUUCCUGUCUUUUUUAAUGCACUUUUCGUUUAACAAGUCAACAUCAAUUUCUUUUGUUGUAAAAGAGUCAUUGGAAGGUGGCUUUCUUUUCGGAGAAAGUGUUUAUAGCCUUUGACUUCUGCAAUCGGAGAGAUUGAGGUCUGCAGCGUAGAUCCUUCGGGGUUAGAUAGCAUUUGUGCUAAGCUAUAGCCUUUCAUAGACAACUUGUUGACUAUGAUCAGUCAUGUAGCUUACUCGCUUAUGCUAUUUUACCUACGCUUAGGAUGUUGACGAUCAGCUGAGCGCG